AACGGCCAUAUUACGUUGAAACCGGUUCCAGUACAAUCACCGAUGUUAAGCAACGUCAAGCAUUGUCAGUACCUAGAUGGGUGACCGCUUGGGAAUACCAGGUGUGGUA